UUUAAGAAGCACAAACAAAACACUGUGCCAAAGGCCAGGAGCAGCAUUCCUGGCGCCUCCUCGCUUCCUGUUUGAAGCUGCAUUCCUGCCAUGAAGUCACCGCAGAAAGAGCCUGCUCUGGAAUGCAGCCUGUGCACGCUGUGCAGUCAGGGCUGCAAGCGGCAGGCUCCGGGGCAGGGCUCUCUGCCCAUGGUGCACCCCGAUGUGUGCUCGGGUUCCCCGGGAGCUGCAGGGGACUCCCCUGGCUUAGUCUGAGGCAGAAAUUGGCAGCUCUCUCGUUUUCCGUGGGCUGGACUGACUCCAGGGCAAAGAACACCAGGGCACUGGGAUUCCUGGGUCUGUUCUGGUGCUGGGAGGGAGUGGGAUCUAGUGGUUAGAGGAGGGGGGCUAGGGCCUCCCAUCUCUGUGUACUGCCAUCACUUUGGGUGGAGAGAAAGCGAGGCCUAGAGGGGUGCGAGCCAGGACUCCUGGGUUCUGUUCCCUGCUCUAACACUCAUAGCUUUGGACAGGGUACUUAAGCUCCGUGCCUCAGUUUCCCCACCACUAAAGCUGGGAGGGUGACUGUCCUAACCCACCCCUUGGUGGCAGCCUGAUGGAGCUGAGGACUAAGCAGACGGUGUGGAGACAUGUUAGUGUUAGAUGGCCACACACCAGUCCUUUAACCAAACCCCAGAGCUCUGCUGGGGAGGGGAUCUGCAGCCAGUGCAGGUGUGAGAUGGAUGCUGAAGACUCCUUGAUGCUGCUAACAAGGCAGCUCAACUGCUGCACCUGGAUAAUCCUCACAGGCCUUUCAUGGGGCCUCCUGUGGGGCAAUGAGCCCCAGGCCCCGCCCGCUGCCCCCUUGUUCUCUGUUGGGAAGUGUUAAUGGGAAGUGUCAGUGCUUUAUUGCUAGCUGUUAGUGGAGGUCUUUGUUCCCCUGAAGGAGGGCCAGGCGGUCUCUUUAUCGGCUCCUCUCCAAGCCCAGGGCUGUGUGACUUUGCACUGAGGUGUGCUGGGGGUGCUAUCAGGGAUUUGCUGCUUAUCUGCAGGGCCUUGUGCAUCAGCCAGCUCCCCCUGAGUUUCACUGGGCCCCCUGCUGCCUUGCUGGUUUCAGCAGAGAAUCCUGCACAUAGAUUAGGAGUGCUGGGCGAAUGGGAGCCACAUGGACAAGGCCUCCAGUCCUGGCCAGGGCACCGCUGCUCCCAGCAGCCAGGCCCAGGACCCCUCUCUCCCUGGGGGAGAGGCCUAUCUAUCUCUCCUGGGCUUGGAGUGCUGGUGAUGGGCAGGUAGCACGUAGGGGAUCCAGGCAAGGCCUUUGCACCCCCAUCCCUCUACCUGUGUGCCUGUUCACAUUUCAGCUCAGCAUGCCGCUGGGGGACUUCACUGCCAUGGUACCCGCCAAACGAUGCCCCAGGGGGAGGAAGGGGAUGUCCCAAAGGACUGAUGGAAAUGCAGCCGGCCCCGCAGUAAUGUGACCGUACAGCCCUGGAAAGGCAAAGCACACCUGCACAACGUGCCCUAUGGGGCCCUUCAGCGCAUCUGCUGGGACUUCAGAGCUGCGAGCUUCCCCAGAGCCGUGCCCUGCCCGUGCCAGCCAGGACUCCAACGGUGUGCACUUCCCCACAGCAGGGCCUGACCUAUAAGGUGCAAACACUUCAGCGCCCAUGCAAGCCUUCCAGGCCCUUCCACCACACCAAGGAUUCUAGUUCACAAGCCAACAGAAAGGACAGUUGCCGCAGCACAGCGAGAACUGGCUGGGCAGGACUCUUCCCUCCCGAGCCUAAAUCCU